GAUCUCUAUCAUUGCAAUGUAGACAUAUACAAGUACGCUAGAUAUGAUAUACCAUACAAAAUGACAGUUAAUUUUUGUGCUAAUUCAAAGCACCCCACCGAGCGUACCAG